AGUGAACGCUGGCGGUAGGCCUAACACAUGCAAGUCGAACGGCAGCACAGUAAGAGCUUGCUCUUACGGGUGGCGAGUGGCGGACGGGUGAGGAAUACAUCGGAAUCUACUUUUUCGUGGGGGAUAACGUAGGGAAACUUACGCUAAUACCGCAUACGACCUACGGGUGAAAGCAGGGGAUCUUCGGACCUUGCGCGAUUGAAUGAGCCGAUGUCGGAUUAGCUAGUUGGCGGGGUAAAGGCCCACCAAGGCGACGAUCCGUAGCUGGUCUGAGAGGAUGAUCAGCCACACGGGAACUGAGACACGGUCCAGACUCCUACGGGAGGCAGCAGUGGGGAAUAUUGGACAAUGGGCGCAAUCCUGAUCCAGCCAUACCGCGUGGGUGAAGAAGGCCUUCGGGUUGUAAAGCCCUUUUGUUGGGAAAGAAAAGCAGCAGGUUAAUACCCCGCUGUUCUGACGGUACCCAAAGAAUAAGCACCGGCUAACUUCGUG
rnacentral:rRNA from 1 species